ACAGAUUAAGGCUAAAAAUCCUCUCACUACUUCACAGAACGGUAAUAAAUCUCCCAGGACGUGUAGCGAAGUGCGCAUGCGUCAUGGAGUGGCCAUUAUAAACUACGUUUCCCGGCAUGCUCCUGGAGUAUCGCGGGAACUUCCGGCGGGAUUUGCCCGCUAUAUAAGCUCGCGUUACAGCUCUGUUAGGCCUUUCACAUGGCGGCAGCGGAAGGAGAACGAGAUGGAUGCACGGGCUUGGGAAGAAGUCACCUGACCUGCAAGGUGACUGCAGUGCAUUAUGGGACUCCGCUGGUGUGAACUGGUCAGAACUUUACCUUAGGUGACUGCAAUGCAUUAUGGGAUUCCGCUGGUGUGAACUGAUCAGAACUUUACCUUAGGUGACUGCAGUGCAUUAUGGGACUCCGCUGGUGUGAACUGGUCAGAGCUUUACCUUAGAGAUGGAGGCACGGGCUUGGAAAGCGGCAGAUGUCACCUGAUUAGCGAGGUGACUGCAGUGCAUUAUGGGAUUCCGCUGGUGUGAUCUGGUCAGAACUUUAGAGAUGGAUGCACGGGCUUGGAAAGGGGCAGGAGAGGUCACCUGACCGGCAAGUAUCUUUUAUUAGGUGUGGGGGAGUCCUUGUCGGAUCGUGAUUUCCGGAAAACAAAGUGCCUGUAUAUUGGGAUGACAUCUGAAGAUGAGCUGCACAUGUGACUAAUCGUGAUGUGAAGUUGAAGGGUUAACUUCAGGACGUAGAAAUUCAUCAGAUCUGUGUGAUUUGCCUCCAAUGUAACAUAUUAAAGAUAAUAAAAUAAAGUUUGUAUUCUGAAGCUCUGUA